rnacentral:rRNA from 1 species
GUGGGGAAUAUUGCACAAUGGGCGCAAGCCUGAUGCAGCGACGCCGCGUGGGGGAUGACGGCCUUCGGGUUGUAAACUCCUUUCGCCAAAGACGAAUGUGGACGGUAUUUGGAGAAGAAGCACCGGCUAACUACGUGCCAGCAGCCGCGGUAAUACGUAGGGUGCGAGCGUUGUCCGGAAUUACUGGGCGUAAAGAGCUCGUAGGUGGUUUGUCGCGUCGUUUGUGGAAUACCGCAGCUUAACUGUGGGGUUGCAGGCGAUACGGGCAUAACUUGAGUGCUGUAGGGGAGACUGGAAUUCCUGGUGUAGCGGUGAAAUGCGCAGAUAUCAGGAGGAACACCGAUGGCGAAGGCAGGUCUCUGGGCAGUAACUGACGCUGAGGAGCGAAAGCAUGGGGAGCGAACAGGAUUAGAAACCCUAGUAGUCC